CCCAAGAAGGCUGAUGUCAGGC
rnacentral:miRNA from 14 species